rnacentral:tRNA from 1 species
GCGCCCAUAGCUCAGUUGGUAGAGCAGCGGACUUUUAAUCCGUUUGUCGCAGGUUCGAACCCUGCUGGGCGCA